GGGCGCACGUGGACCUGGGUGCUGGCACCGGGCUGAAGGACUGCAGACACCGCCCAAUGGACACAGGACGCCUUGCACAGUGAAUAAUGGAGGGGAAGUGAGGGCAGGGAAGAACAGGGCACUGAGCCCUAAGACGAAAAUAGAGGCCUGAUUUGGGGGAAUAAAGUGCCACUUUGCAUCAAGAA